UGGGGAAUAUUGCACAAUGGGCGAAAGCCUGAUGCAGCAACGCCGCGUGAGUGAUGAAGGCCUUCGGGUUGUAAAGCUCUGUCUUUUGGGACGAUAAUGACGGUACCAAAGGAGGAAGCCACGGCUAACUACGUGCCAGCAGCCGCGGUAAUACGUAGGUGGCAAGCGUUGUCCGGAUUUACUGGGCGUAAAGGAUGCGUAGGCGGAUUUUUAAGUGAGAUGUGAAAUACCCGGGCUUAACUUGGGUGCUGCAUUUCAAACUGGGAAUCUAGAGUGCGGGAGAGGAGAAUGGAAUUCCUAGUGUAGCGGUGAAAUGCGUAGAGAUUAGGAAGAACACCAGUGGCGAAGGCGAUUCUCUGGACCGUAACUGACGCUGGGGCAUGAAAGCGUGGGUAGCAAACAGGAUUAGAUACCCUGGUAGUCCACGCCGUAAACGAUGAGUACUAGGUGUAGGAGGUAUCGACCCCUUCUGUGCCGCAGUUAACACAAUAAGUACUCCGCCUGGGAAGUACGAUCGCAAGAUU
rnacentral:rRNA from 1 species